GAUAAGAACGUAGCGAAAUGCGAUAAGUAAUGUGAAUUGCAGAAUUCAGUGAAUCAUCGAAUCUUUGAACGCACAUUGCGCCCGGUAGUAUUCUGCCGGGCAUGCCUGUUCGAGCGUCAUUUCAACCAUCAAGCCCCAGCGCUUGUGUUGGGGGCCUGCGGCUGCCGCAGCCCCCUAAAAGCAGUGGCGGGCUCGCUAUCACACCGAGUGCAGUAGUUCAUCUUCUCUCCGGUCUUGUGAGGCGGGUUCCGGCCGUGAAACACCCCACUACAUUCAAGGUUGACCUCGGAUCAGGUAGGAAUACCCGCUGAACUUAAGCAUAUCAAUAAGCGGAGGA
rnacentral:misc_RNA from 1 species